UCGGAAACGGGGGCUAAUACCGGAUAUUCCUGUCUUCACGCAUGUGGGGGUGGGGAAAGCUUUUGCGGAUUGGGGUGGGCUCGCGGCCUAUCAGCUUGUUGGUGGGGUGAUGGCCUACCAAGGCUUUGACGGGUAGCCGGCCUGAGAGGGCGACCGGCCACACUGGGACUGAGACACGGCCCAGACUCCUACGGGAGGCAGCAGUGGGAAUAUUGCACAAUGGACGCAAGUCUGAUGCAGCGACGCCGUGUGAGGGAUGACGGCCUUCGGGUUGUAAACCUCUUUCGCCAGGGACGAAGCCGGCUUGUCCGGUGACGGUACUUGGAGAAGAAGCGCCGGCCAACUACGUGCCAGCAGCCGCGGUAAGACGUAGGGCGCGAGCGUUGUCCGGAUUUAUUGGGCGUAAAGAGCUCGUAGGCGGCUCAUUGCGUCAACCGUGAAAACCAGCAGCUCAACUGUUGGCUUGCGGUUGAUACGGGUGGGCUGGAGUUCGGUAGGGGAGACUGGAAUUCCUGGUGUAGCGGUGAAAUGCGCAGAUAUCAGGAGAAACACCGGUGGCGAAGGCGGGUCUCUGGGCCGAUACUGACGCUGAGGAGCGAAAGCGUGGGGAGCGAACAGGAUUAGAUACCCUGGUAGUCCACGCUGUAAACGUUGGGCGCUAGGUGUGGGGGGCCUCUCCGGUUUCCUGCGCCGUAGCUAACGCAUUAAGCGCCCCGCCUGGGGAGUACGGCCGCAAGGCUAAAACUCAAAGGAAUUGACGGGGCCCGCACAAGCGGCGGAGCAUGCGGAUUAAUUCGAUGCGACGCGAAGAACCUUACCUGGGUUUGACAUCGCCGGAAAUCUCGCAGAGAUGCGGGGUCCUUCGGGGCCGGUGACAGGUGAUGCAUGGCUGUCUUCAGCUCGUGUCGUGAGAUGUUGGGUUAAGUCCCGCAACGAGCGCAACCCUCGUUCCAUGUUGCCAGCGGGUUAUGCCGGGGACUCAUGGGAGACUGCCGGGGUCAACUCGGAGGAAGGUGGGGAUGACGUCAAGUCAUCAUGCCCCUUAUGUCCAGGGCUUCACGCAUGCUACAAUGGCCGGUACAAUGGGCUGCGAUACCGCGAGGUGGAGCGAAUCCCAAAAAGCCGGUCUCAGUUCGGAUCGGGGUCUGCAACUCGACCCCGUGAAGUCGGAGUCGCUAGUAACCGCAGACCAGCAACGCUGCGGUGAAUACGUUCCCGGGCCUUGUACACACCGCCCGUCACGUC
rnacentral:rRNA from 1 species